rnacentral:lncRNA from 1 species
GGAAUAAUCAAGCAGCAAGGAACAGCAAUAAAAAUAGCACCAAUAGGGCUAGAAGUGCAGCUCAAUGGUAAAACACUUGUUAGCAUGCAUAGGCCCUUGGUUACAUUCCCAGCACUUAAAAAAAAAAAUCAAGCCUUUGAACUACCACCAACUACAACUUUUUUCCUCUGCCAGACGCUGAUCUAGGUGCAUGUCAUACUUUUAUUCCUUUAGUCCGCACAGUGACCUCACAGGGAAGGUAUUCGCACCAUCCCUCCCAAGGAGGCUGCCCCUAAGCUCCUCUUUUUGUGUAAGAAGGUGGGGAAUUUGAAGUUUCAAGAGAAAGAUAGAGGUACCUAGGGGUGGGACAAGUCGAGACAAAAAGCAAGUGCUUGGGAUUCCUGGCAGAGAAGGCGAUGGUCAUGCUCAAUGACAACUUUUGUUUCUAUUGCAUAUAACAUACAGCUGUGUGUCACAUAAUGACAUUUUGGUCAAUGAUGAGAUGCAUAUACAACACUAUUCUCAUAAGAAUAUAUCACCCAGUGAUAUAUUAUAUAUCAAUAUGUAUCAAUAAUAUAUAUGACAUAUGUAUUAUUUAAAUUCUAUAUAUGUGUAUAUAGUAUAAAUAGACAUUAUAUUAUUGUAUAUUAUUUUAUUGUCAUCAUUUUAGUAUGUUACAUAUUUUGUUGUGCAUGUACUGAUAUACCAAAUCUGUUGAAAAAAUGUAUACACAUUUUAGGUAAAAAAAAUAGUAUUAUGUUUUUUCAGCAGAUGGGAUUACCUUCAUACGGGGAACCCUAGAGGAUGUUGUGUAUCACAAAAAAAAACAGCUAUACUGCUGGCACUUAGAGAAGAAACUGAAAAUGCAUGCCCAGCAAUCUCAACGACCAAGAUUAUCCAAGCAGCAGUUUGGAAGCUCAUGGCCACCACUCUGAGUACUGCUUAUAAUUAUAGAGACCAAAGAAGCUGCCCAGGACUGGUACUGCCCUUGGGGUUUACAGUAUUAGCUCUCCUUUGGGAGAAGCAAGGAAUGUCCCAGCUGGCUUCUGAGGACCGGCUGCCAUCUCUACCCAUGCUGCAUGCUGGUGAGUCCUUAUACUACCAAAGGGUACAAGAGUUCACGCAACAGCCAAGCUGGAGAAAUGGAGGAAAGUGGUUCUGCAGAUUCUCCAUCUUAGGGUGUGUGUGUGUGUGUGUGUGUGUGUGUGUGUGUGUGUGUGUGUGUGUGCGUGUGUGUGUGUGUGUGUGUGUGUGAGAGAGAGACAGACAGACAGACAGACAGACCCCUCCUGACCGGGACUGACAGUUCUGUGGCAUGCAGCAGGACCUUACUGAAUGCAAGCUGCAUUUGCAGUUCUGUCUUUAAUGUUACUUUAGACCUGUUCCUCAGGCAAGAGAGCCUCCUUUUGCGUUUGCACUUUUCUCCUUUACACGUCAUCACUUAUCAUUGCCUCUUGUCCAUCCUGCAGUGCUUCUGUUGUUUGAAAUAUUCAAACUUACUCCACCUUCCCUCAACGCUGGGGCUCCGUGUUGCUGUACUCAUGUACAGGUGAGCACUCUACACUCAGAACGGUCGACCCACGCAGCCAAGCCCACCCACCCUGCAAAGUCCACUCGCCCCAGCCCCCAUCCUUCAUUGGCACAUACUUUCUGAGCUACAACUUGGUACCUGUUCCCUUUGUCCCGGAGUCUGACUCAGACCUCUCGCUUCCCCUAACAGCAGCGGCUUUGCUGUCCUCCCCUGGUGUUCAUCCUUCUUCCUUUCAAUCUCCUCUCCCACAGCACCCAGGGAGACUUCUGCACAUUCGCUCUUGCCCUGGGUUUGACCCCUGCCCUCUCCUCCUUCCUUGUGGCUUCUUUUGGGGACUUUAAGCACUCCCUGGCUUUGUCUGUUUCCUCGUAUCUCCUUUUCUCUUACAUCUUUCUUUUCAUCUUCUGCUGACCCUGUGUGGUCCAUUUCAUAACUGGAUAUAGCUCAGUGUGAAGGCUCUGGGUUCAAUCACCAGUACCAGAAAAAGAAGGAAAAGGGAGAGAAGUAGGAGGAGAAGGAGAGGGGAGAGGGAGGGGAGACAGAUGGGGAAAAGGAGGAGGAAGAAGAGGAGAAGGAGAAAGAGGGGGAGUGGAGAAGGAGGGGAAGGAGGAGGAGAAACAAAAGGAAGAGGGGUGUAAGAAGAGGAACAGGGGUGGGAGAGGAAGGAGACUGUGAAAAUAUUGCAAGGGCUGGCUUUUGUCCACAGUGUGAGGAUUCUCCUGCUUCCUCACCAAGUUUCCCUUCCUGACAACCCACUGUCACAGGGAACCCAACCACUGGCUCCCCCACUUGUUGGGGAUGUCCCUUCUGAGGACAUGGGUGAGGCCGCAAGAGCUGAACUCACCUUGGUGCUCCACGGCUUCCCUGUGCUGUGCAGGCUUGUGGGAAGUGGAGGGCAUCCUGAGCUUGCAGUAGAAACUGCUGGCUGCUCCCCACUUGCACUUCCUCUUCUUUCUCCUGUAACAGGUCCCCCACAUUCUAGCUGGGCACAUACCUCCCAGCUGGAGACAACAUGUUCCAGCUUACCUUGCAACUGCUGAGGUCAUGCAACUUCCUUCUGGCCAAUGGGACAUGCGUAAAUCAGAUGGUGCAUAUCUCAGUCCAUGCCUUGGGAGACAGGGUGAGAACACGGCCCCUCACCUGCUGUACUGGAUUAACAAAUGGUCAGUUUAUAACACCCAGCUGAACCGAAUCAGCGUGGUGCUGGGUGUGGAAGUCCCACCUGAGGAUUGUUGCCAACAGCAUAAAAGGAGAACUGGAGGGGGAGAUGGUGUGCUGUUGAUUCUCUUGGAGAAGCUUGUUGUGCUGGCUUCCCUGGUAUGAGCUCGGCUGUUCUUAUCAUUGGAGGAGCUCUGGUCCUCACUGUUGCUGAGGAUGACUGUGGUUCUCUUUGGGGGGAAUCUUGUUCUUACCUUGAGCAUCCCUUCCUGGCUCCAUUGCAGAUCCCUCAGCCUGCUGACACCGAUCCUUCAUUCCGCGGGUACAGACUUUCUAGCUUCCAUCACUGAGUGCAGACCCUUGAUACAGACUUGCAUAAGAUAUUGUCAUGGGCUCUAGGCCUCCCACUGGACUUGUGGAGGACAUUGCCAUGGGAUCCAGGCCCUCAGCUGGAUUCUUUGGGUCUCUAGUGUGUGGACAGAUCUCCCACAUUCUUUUGCAUUUGACUCUUUGGGUGAAUAUUACAAAAUAAUACAAUAAAUUAUGUAUCUUGUACUAAAUUCAUUCCCUUGUAAACUCUGACUACAACACCUGCCCACACCAGCAGGCCCUUUGUGCCUUCUAAAAUCUGCACCCUAGAACCUGGAAGAGCAACAAAAGAGGAGCCUGUGUGCCAGAGCCACCACAUAAGCCCAGUUUGCUGACUUUCAGACUAUUAGAGGAAAAUAAACUUUUACCUUGCUUGAACCGUGGAAUUUGGGGACUUCUUUGUUACAGCAUCUUGAUCCACAUGCUACCUGGUACAGUGAUUGAUAGAUGGUCCUUUCCCCUCUGUGUGACUUGGGGGCAGACACUGAGCAGGCUAAGAUGGGAGGGAGGUUGUAAUGUCUAGAUUUUCUGUUCUGUGACCUUUCAAACUUUUCCCUACUACAGAUCGUUGCAGGACACAGGCGUGCAAUGUCACCACCCGCUUUCUCAGCUCACAGGCCUAGACAAGGACUC